UCCUACGGGGGGCAGCAGUGGGGAAUAUUGCGCAAUGGGCGAAAGCCUGACGCAGCGACGCCGCGUGGGUGAUGAAGGCCUUCGGGUCGUAAAACCCUGUCGGGUGGAACGAAUCUCCGCCCCUUGAAUAGGGGGGCGGAUUGACGGUACCACCGAAGGAAGCCCCGGCUAACUACGUGCCAGCAGCCGCGGUAAUACGUAGGGGGCGAGCGUUGUUCGGAUUUACUGGGCGUAAAGAGCGCGUAGGUGGUUCGAUCAGUCGGAGGUGAAAGCCCUCGGCUCAACCGAGGAUCCGCGUCCGAUACUGUCGAACUUGAGUGCAGGAGAGGAGAGCGGAAUUCCCAGUGUAGCGGUGAAAUGCGUAGAUAUUGGGAGGAACACCGGUGGCGAAGGCGGCUCUCUGGACUGCUACUGACACUGAGGCGCGAAAGCUAGGGGAGCAAACGGGAUUAGAUACCCUAGUAGUCC
rnacentral:rRNA from 1 species